rnacentral:misc_RNA from 1 species
UAACUGUUCUUCAAAGUUUCUGCAAUUCAGCACUAGUCAAGAACAAUCAAUGGAGCCAACUGAUGUUGCAGUCUCUGAAGACCAACAGCUCUCUGCUGACCCUCUGCCUUUUGCAAGAAGUUAUCAGUUGGAAGCUCUGGAGACAGCAUUAAAGCAGAACACCAUUGUUUACUUAGAGACUGGUUCUGGAAAGACCUUGAUUGCAAUUAUGCUUCUUAGAAGCUAUGCUUACCUUCUUCGGAAGCCGUCUCCGUACAUAGCUGUUUUCUUGGUCCCGACCGUUGUUCUGGUGACUCAGCAAGGAGAUGCUCUGAUGUUGCAUACCGACUUAAAAGUGGGCAAAUAUUGGGGAGAAAUGGGCGUUGAUUAUUGGGAUGCUUCUACAUGGCAACAACAAGUGGAUGAUCAUGAGGUACUUGUUAUGACUCCGGCAAUACUACUUGCUGCUUUGAGGCACAGCUUUUUACAAAUAGACAUGAUAAAAGUUAUAAUAUUUGAUGAGUGCCACAAUGCCCGAGGCAAACACCCCUAUGCCAGCAUAAUGGUGGAGUUCUAUCAUCACCAGUUAACCCAUGAGAGCGCACAACUUCCAAGAAUAUUUGGGAUGACUGCUUCCCCUAUAAAGUCUAAAGGUGCUAGCACGGCACAUAGUUACUGGCAAAAGAUCCAUGACCUCGAAAAUCUUAUGAAUUCCAAG